rnacentral:rRNA from 1 species
AUACGUAGGGUGCGAGCGUUGUCCGGAAUGAUUGGGCGUAAAGCGCGCGUAGGCGGCAUGUUAAGUCUGGAGUGAAAGUCCUGUGUUCAAGCUGGGAAUUGCCUUGGAUACUGAUGGGCUUGAGUGUAGGAGAGGUUAUCGGAAUUCCCGGUGUAGCGGUGAAAUGCGGAGAGAUCGGGAGGAACACCAGUGGCGAAGGCGGGUAACUGGACUGCAAAUGAAGCUGAGGCGCGAAAGUGUGGGGAGCAAACAGGAUUAGAUACCCUUGUAGUCCACACUGUAAACGAUGAAUGCUAGGUGUAAGAGGUAUCUACCCCUUUUGUGCCGGAGUUAACACAAUAAGCAUUCCGCCUGGGGAGUACGGCCGCAAGGUUGAAACUCAAAUGAAUUGACGGGG